rnacentral:rRNA from 1 species
AUUGAACGCUGGCGGCGUGCCUAACACAUGCAAGUCGAGCGGUAACAGGUGUAGCAAUACAUGCUGACGAGCGGCGAACGGGUGAGUAAUGCUUCGGAAUCUGCCCAUGUAGUGGGGAAUAACCAGCCGAAAGGUUGGCUAAUACCGCAUACGACCUACGGGUGAAAGCAGGGGAUCGCAAGACCUUGCGCUAUUGGAUUGAGCCGAAGUCGGAUUAGCUUGUUGGUAGGGUAACGGCCUACCAAGGCGACGAUCCGUAGCUGGUCUGAGAGGACGGACCAGCCACACUGGGACUGAGACACGGCCCAGACUCCUACGGGAGGCAGCAGUGGGGAAGUAUUGGACAAUGGGGGCGAACCCUGAUCCAGCGACGCCGCGUGUGUGAAGAAGG